UACGUAGGGUGCGAGCGUUAUUCGGAAUUACUGGGCGUAAAGGGCUCGUAGGCGGCCAACUAAGUCGGACGUGAAAUCCCUCGGCUUAACCGGGGAACUGCGUCCGAUACUGGAUGGCUUGAGUUUGGGAGAGGGAUGCGGAAUUCCAGGUGUAGCGGUGAAAUGCGUAGAUAUCUGGAGGAACACCGGUGGCGAAGGCGGCAUCCUGGACCAACACUGACGCUGAGGAGCGAAAGCGAGGGGAGCAAACGGG
rnacentral:rRNA from 1 species